GACGAACGUUGGCGGCGUGCUUAACACAUGCAAGUCGAACGGAAAGGCCCUGCUUUUGUGGGGUGCUCGAGUGGCGAACGGGUGAGUAACACGUGAGUAACCUGCCCUUGACUUUGGGAUAACUUCAGGAAACUGGGGCUAAUACCGGAUAGGAGCUCCUGCUGCAUGGUGGGGGUUGGAAAGUUUCGGCGGUUGGGGAUGGACUCGCGGCUUAUCAGCUUGUUGGUGGGGUAGUGGCUUACCAAGGCUUUGACGGGUAGCCGGCCUGAGAGGGUGACCGGCCACAUUGGGACUGAGAUACGGCCCAGACUCCUACGGGAGGCAGCAGUGGGGAAUACUGCACAAUGGGCGGAAGCCUGAUGCAGCAACGCCGCGUGCGGGAUGACGGCCUUCGGGUUGUAAACCGCUUUCGCCUGUGACGAAGCGUGAGUGACGGUAAUGGGUAAAGAAGCACCGGCUAACUACGUGCCAGCAGCCGCGGUGAUACGUAGGGUGCGAGCGUUGUCCGGAUUUAUUGGGCGUAAAGGGCUCGUAGGUGGUUGAUCGCGUCGGAAGUGUAAUCUUGGGGCUUAACCCUGAGCGUGCUUUCGAUACGGGUUGACUUGAGGAAGGUAGGGGAGAAUGGAAUUCCUGGUGGAGCGGUGGAAUGCGCAGAUAUCAGGAGGAACACCAGUGGCGAAGGCGGUUCUCUGGGCCUUUCCUGACGCUGAGGAGCGAAAGCGUGGGGAGCGAACAGGCUUAGAUACCCUGGUAGUCCACGCUGUAAACGGUGGGUACUAGGUGUGGGGUCCAUUCCACGGGUUCCGUGCCGUAGCUAACGCUUUAAGUACCCCGCCUGGGGAGUACGGCCGCAAGGCUAAAACUCAAAGGAAUUGACGGGGCCCCGCACAAGCGGCGGAGCAUGCGGAUUAAUUCGAUGCAACGCGUAGAACCUUACCUGGGUUUGACAUGGAUCGGGAGUGCUCAGAGAUGGGUGUGCCUCUUUUGGGGUCGGUUCACAGGUGGUGCAUGGCUGUCGCCAGCUCGUGUCGUGAGAUGUUGGGUUAAGUCCCGCAACGAGCGCAACCCUUGUUCACUGUUGCCAGCACGUUAUGGUGGGGACUCAGUGGAGACCGCCGGGGUCAACUCGGAGGAAGGUGGGGAUGACGUCAAGUCAUCAUGCCCCUUAUGUCCAGGGCUUCACGCAUGCUACAAUGGCUGGUACAGAGAGUGGCGAGCCUGUGAGGGUGAGCGAAUCUCGGAAAGCCGGUCUCAGUUCGGAUUGGGGUCUGCAACUCGACCUCAUGAAGUCGGAGUCGCUAGUAAUCGCAGAUCAGCAACGCUGCGGUGAAUACGUUCCCGGGGCU
rnacentral:rRNA from 1 species